rnacentral:rRNA from 1 species
UGGGGAAUUUUGGACAAUGGGGGAAACCCUGAUCCAGCCAUCCCGCGUGUGCGAUGAAGGCCUUCGGGUUGUAAAGCACUUUUGGCAGGAAAGAAACGUCAUGGGUUAAUACCCCGUGAAACUGACGGUACCUGCAGAAUAAGCACCGGCUAACUACGUGCCAGCAGCCGCGGUAAUACGUAGGGUGCAAGCGUUAAUCGGAAUUACUGGGCGUAAAGCGUGCGCAGGCGGUUCGGAAAGAAAGAUGUGAAAUCCCAGAGCUCAACUUUGGAACUGCAUUUUUAACUACCGGGCUAGAGUGUGUCAGAGGGAGGUGGAAUUCCGCGUGUAGCAGUGAAAUGCGUAGAUAUGCGGAGGAACACCGUUGGCGAAGGCAGCCUCCUGGGAUAACACUGACGCUCAUGCACGAAAGCGUGGGGAGCAAACAGG